rnacentral:rRNA from 1 species
GCGUGUAUGAAGAAMGGCCUUUCGGGUGUAAAGUACUUUCAGCGGGGAGGRAAGGCGAUGUGGUUAAUAACCGCGUCGAUUGACGUUAACCCGCAGAAGAAGCACCGGCUAACUCCGUGCCAGCAGCCGCGGUAAUACGGAGGGUGCAAGCKUUAAUCGGAAUUACUGGGCGUAAAGCGCACGCAGGCGGUCUGUUAAGUCAGAUGUGAAAUCCCCGGGCUUAACCUGGGAACUGCAUUUGAAACUGGCAGGCUUGAGUCUCGUAGAGGGGGGUAGAAUUCCAGGUGUAGCGGUGAAAUGCGUAGAGAUCUGGAGGAAUACCGGUGGCGAAGGCGGCCCCCUGGACGAAGACUGACGCUCAGGUGCGAAAGCGUGGGGAGCAAACAGGAUUAGAUACCCUGGUAGUCCACGCCGUAAACGAUGUCGACUUGGAGGUUGUUCCCUUGAGGAGUGGCUUCCGGAGCUAACGCGUUAAGUCGACCGCCUGGGGAGUACGGCCGCAAGGUUAAAACUCAAAUGAAUUGACGGGGGCCCGCACAAGCGGUGGAGCAUGUGGUUUAAUUCGAUGCAACGCGAAGAACCUUACCUACUCUUGACAUCCASRGAAYUURGCAGAGAUGCYUURGUGCCUUCGGGARCYSUGAGACAGGUGCUGCAUGGCUGUCGUCAGCUCGUGUUGUGAAAUGUUGGGUUAAGUCCCGCAACGAGCGCAACCCUUAUCCUUUGUUGCCAGCGAUUCGGUCGGGAACUCAAAGGAGACUGCCGGUGAUAAACCGGAGGAAGGKGGGGAUGACGUCAAGUCAUCAUGGCCCUUACGAGUAGGGCUACACACGUGCUACAAUGGCGCAUACAAAGAGAAGSGACCUCGCGAGAGCAAGCGGACCUCAUAAAGUGCGUCGUAGUCCGGAUCGGAGUCUGCAACUCGACUCCGUGAAGUCGGAAUCGCUAGUAAUCGUGAUCAGAAUGC